rnacentral:rRNA from 1 species
GGGACCAUCCUCCAAGGCUAAAUACUCCUGACUGACCGAUAGUGAACCAGUACCGUGAGGGAAAGGCGAAAAGAACCCCGGCGAGGGGAGUGAAAAAGAACCUGAAACCGUGUACGUACAAGCAGUGGGAGCACGCUUAGGCGUGUGACUGCGUACCUUUUGUAUAAUGGGUCAGCGACUUAUAUUCUGUAGCAAGGUUAACCGAAUAGGGGAGCCGAAGGGAAACCGAGUCUUAACUGGGCGUUAAGUUGCAGGGUAUAGACCCGAAACCCGGUGAUCUAGCCAUGGGCAGGUUGAAGGUUGGGUAACACUAACUGGAGGACCGAACCGACUAAUGUUGAAAAAUUAGCGGAUGACUUGUGGCUGGGGGUGAAAGGCCAAUCAAACCGGGAGAUAGCUGGUUCUCCCCGAAAGCUAUUUAGGUAGCGCCUCGUGAAUUCAUCUCCGGGGGUAGAGCACUGUUUCGGCAAGGGGGUCAUCCCGACUUACCAACCCGAUGCAAACUGCGAAUACCGGAGAAUGUUAUCACGGGAGACACACGGCGGGUGCUAACGUCCGUCGUGAAGAGGGAAACAACCCAGACCGCCAGCUAAGGUCCCAAAGUCAUGGUUAAGUGGGAAACGAUGUGGGAAGGCCCAGACAGCCAGGAUGUUGGCUUAGAAGCAGCCAUCAUUUAAAGAAAGCGUAAUAGCUCACUGGUCGAGUCGGCCUGCGCGGAAGAUGUAACGGGGCUAAACCAUGCACCGAAGCUGCGGCAGCGACGCUUAUGCGUUGUUGGGUAGGGGAGCGUUCUGUAAGCCUGUGAAGGUGUGCUGUGAGGUAUGCUGGAGGUAUCAGAAGUGCGAAUGCUGACAUAAGUAACGAUAAAGCGGGUGAAAAGCCCGCUCGCCGGAAGACCAAGGGUUCCUGUCCAACGUUAAUCGGGGCAGGGUGAGUCGACCCCUAAGGCGAGGCCGAAAGGCGUAGUCGAUGGGAAACAGGUUAAUAUUCCUGUACUUGGUGUUACUGCGAAGGGGGGACGGAGAAGGCUAUGUUGGCCGGGCGACGGUUGUCCCGGUUUAAGCGUGUAGGCUGGUUUUCCAGGCAAAUCCGGAAAAUCAAGGCCGAGGCGUGAUGACGAGGCACUACGGUGCUGAAGCAACAAAUGCCCUGCUUCCAGGAAAAGCCUCUAAGCAUCAGGUAACAUCAAAUCGUACCCCAAACCGACACAGGUGGUCAGGUAGAGAAUACCAAGGCGCUUGAGAGAACUCGGGUGAAGGAACUAGGCAAAAUGGUGCCGUAACUUCGGGAGAAGGCACGCUGAUACGUAGGUGAAGCGACUUGCUCGUGGAGCUGAAAUCAGUCGAAGAUACCAGCUGGCUGCAACUGUUUAUUAAAAACACAGCACUGUGCAAACACGAAAGUGGACGUAUACGGUGUGACGCCUGCCCGGUGCCGGAAGGUUAAUUGAUGGGGUUAGCGCAAGCGAAGCUCUUGAUCGAAGCCCCGGUAAACGGCGGCCGUAACUAUAACGGUCCUAAGGUAGCGAAAUUCCUUGUCGGGUAAGUUCCGACCUGCACGAAUGGCGUAAUGAUGGCCAGGCUGUCUCCACCCGAGACUCAGUGAAAUUGAACUCGCUGUGAAGAUGCAGUGUACCCGCGGCAAGACGGAAAGACCCCGUGAACCUUUACUAUAGCUUGACACUGAACAUUGAGCCUUGAUGUGUAGGAUAGGUGGGAGGCUUUGAAGUGUGGACGCCAGUCUGCAUGGAGCCGACCUUGAAAUACCACCCUUUAAUGUUU